rnacentral:tRNA from 1 species
GGAUGGCUCAGUGGUUAAGAGCACUGCUGCUCUUCCAGAGGACCUGGGUUUAAUUCCCAGGAUCCA